rnacentral:lncRNA from 8 species
UCAGUAAGGCCAUUCUACUGCCAAGUUUUGUCAAUGGAGAUUGCAUUGGCUGUGUGCUAGAUUUUAUACACAUGUCAGCAACGGGUGUGGCUGAAAUAGCCAAAUUCACAAAUUUGAAGGGUUGUCCACAUACUUUUGUAUAUAUAGUGUACAUGUUUGACUUGUAUAUAAAGUAAAUACUUGUUUUCCUCUUAGCAUCAUCAGGCCAGAAGAGGUGGUCUGUGAUGUCUGUGAGGUCAAAGCUGUGAAGUUCUGUCAGACCUGCACUCUCUCCUACUGUGGGACCCACGUUAAGAAGCACUACACAGUACCUAAACUACAGAGACACACCCUGGUGGAGGUGACUGGAGACCUGGAGGAGAGACUCUGUCAGGAACACCACAGAGCUCUGGAGGUGUUCUGCAGGACAGACCAGAAGCUGAUCUGCAGUCUGUGUGAAGUAUCAGAACAUGAAGGACAUGAUAUAGUCUAUGAUGAGAUAAAACAAGCUGGAAGACAGGUAGGUAGAUGGUAUUUAAAGAAGAUAUUACAUUUGAUAAUAAUGAUGUUCAUAGUCAUACAAGCUUUUUCAUGUAUGUUCUGCAAAGAAACAACUGUGUUUUUCAUCAAAAUAAUGGCUUCUUACUCUGUUUUCAAGACUUUUGAUAGAGAUCAAUGUCAAAGACUAAGGCUGGCCUCAGUUGACGAAGUGCUGCCCCCUCCUGGUGAGAUCCAGUUCUCGUCAGUGACGUCAGACUCUGUGUCUCUGAGCUGGGGUUCUGCUGACGGACUGACGGGAGCACAGAAGUUCAGAGUGACCUGGGGAUAUGAUGGAGAAGAGAGGAGCCUGAGGGUGGAAGAUGGGUGUAAUGUUGAAAUAGAUGGACUCCAGCCUGGUAAAAAGUACCAGUUCAGUGUGGCUACAGAGGGAGAAGAUGGCAGACAAAGCAGAUGGGUCUCAGCAUCUGUAUAUACUGUGGUCCCAGCACCCAGGGACUUACAAAUAAACCAGUCUGGAGCGACCUAAUUCACUGUCAGUUGGUCCAAGGCUGUAGGAAUGGAGGAAGUCCCACAGAGCUUCCUCAUAUCCUACUGCAGCCCGGGAUCAGAGACCCGCUCAGCCAAUACUGAGGACUCCUACAGAACUCUCUCUGGCCUGCUACCUGGUACUCAGUACACCAUCAGUGUCUCAACUGUGUUGAACAAUGGGGAACAGAGCAAACCUCUCUCUACAACCGUCUGUACAAUAAGCAUCAUACCGACUCACUUCACUUCUGGGGUGCGGAAUUGGACAAAUCUGAACUAGACUGAACCUUUUUCCUGAAGAGAAAUUGUGUGCUUGUUUCAGCUGUCUAAAAGUAUUUGUAUGGUAGUCUAAGAAGUUUAUAAUUGUAACUGAUAGAGCCUAGUGUUGUAGAAGUAGUGUUUAUAAUUGUAAUUGUUAGAGCCUAGUGUUAUAACAUGUAGGCUAGUGUAAUAGAAGUGGCUGAGCCACACGUGGUCCCGUGUGGCUCAGUUGGUAGAGCAUGGUGUUUGCAAUGCCAGGGUUGUGGGUUCGAUUCCCACGGGGGAUCAGUUUGAAAAAAAAAAAAAAAUAAAUAAAAAAAUGUAUGCAUUCACUACUGUAAGUCACUCUGGAUAAGAGUGUCUGCUAAAUGACUAAAAUGUAAUGUAAAUGUUAUAACAUGUAGGCUAGUGUAAUAGAAGUAGUGUUUAUAAUUGUAAUUGGUAGAGCCUAGUGUUAUAACAUGUAGGCUAGUGUGAUAGAAGUAGUGUUUAUAAUUGUAAUUGGUAGAGCCUAGUGUUAUAACAUGUAGGCUAGUGUAAUAGAAGUAGUGUUUAUAAUUGUAUUUGAUAGAGCCUAGUGUUAUAACAUGUAGGCUAGUGUGAUAGUAGUAGUGUUUAUAAUUGUAAUUGAUAGACCCUAGUGUUAUAACAUGUAGGCUAGUGUGAUAAAAGUAGUGUUUAUAAUUGUAAUUGAUAGAGCCUAGUGUUAUAGUAGUAGUGAGUAGUGACUCUAAGUAGUAGUCGGAUAUUAUCCUAUAAAGGAAUAGAAACAGUAGAAUGGAAGUCAACAGGGCUACAAAUGAUCAGCUAUUAUUAACUAUAUUAAACCCCUCCCCUAGUUAUCUCUGUCCCGGUAGAGCUGACAGUUGACUCAGUGGACACCACAUCAGCUGCUGUUAGCUGGAGCCAGCCACCAGGAUUGGACCAAACGCAACAUCAUUACCAGAUCUCCUACCACUGUCCAGGGACAGAACCACACAUCACUACCACAUCUUCACCCAGCAUCACUCUCUCUGACCUGCAAUGUGGUACUCAGUACUCUGUCACUGUCUGUACUGUGCUGGAAAAUGGUUCUUCUACACUUAAGAUCAUUGGAAAUCCCAGGACAGACAGUACAUUCGGAAAGUAUUCAGACCACUUGACUUUUUCCACAUUUCAUUACAUUACAUCCUUUCCUUAUUCUAAAAGGUAUUAAGUCGUUUUUUCCCCUCAUCAAUCUACCCACAAUACCCCAUAAUGACAAAGCAAAAACAGACUUUUACGGUCUAAAUAGUUAUGUAAAUAAAGAUUAAAAUUUAUUUGAAAAAAACUGUUUUCAAUUUGUUGUUAUAGGGUAUUAUGUGUAUAUUGAUGAAUGGAAAAAUAAAUUUAAUCCAUUUUAGAAUAAGGCUGUUACGUAACAAAAUGUGGAAAAAGUCAAGGGGUCUGAAUACUCUCCGAAUGCACCGUACUGUAAUAUCUGAAUUUAUGCUUUAUUCCAUUCCUGCCUCUGUUUGCUUUAACUUCAUCCAAAGUACAGUGUAAAACACUUGUUAUUGUGGAGAGUAUUUAUAAUCACAGCAUUCUUUUAAUUUAUAUAUAUAUUUUUAGCGUAACGGCAACAAUUUUGCAGUAGUGCAGCAGUGUUACAGUGUUACAGCAGUGUUUUCUUUGCGUAAAGGCAACAAUUUUGCAGUAGUGCAGCAGUGUUACUACUUUUAAAUUACUAUUCUACUUUUCCUCCUGUACAGUGGUGAUUUUAGCAUGCAAAUCUUUGUGGGGCGUAAUCAAAAUAUUUUUUUUAGAUGCAUGCCAGCAAAGCCACUACACAACUCAACGCUAAACAAUACAUGAAUUGCACUAUAACAAACAGUGCCCACAAACUGCUAGGGCCUACAUAAAGCUGUCCCAACAGCAGAGAUUUUUUCAGAACCAUAAAGCCCCUCCUUACCACUGCUACAACUGGCUAUCAGUGGAGGCUUGUCUGGCAGUGAAACAGUUCAUUCAGUGUCAUUUACUGCCUUUUUAAAAAAGAUAGCUGAUAUGGCUGACUUGCUUAAACAAAUGUGAUUUCUACUGACAUUUGAGUUGUACAAACUAUGGCAUAAGGGAAUGAUGAGCGGAUAAAAGGCAAUCCGUAAUUUCGAUUAAGACAUUAAUGAGCGAGCUAAGACAGACGUAGUCAAUAUAAUAACUAUUUGUUCAGCACUUUUGAAAUGUACAGCGACAGAAUUCAGAACAUGGGCUGUUCUUACAGUAUUCUCCCUGUACACCAAGUCAGAACUGAAGGAUAAAUAAAGAGGGCC